UGGGGAAUAUUGGACAAUGGGCGAAAGCCUGAUCCAGCCAUGCCGCGUGUGUGAAGAAGGUCUUCGGAUUGUAAAGCACUUUAAGUUGGGAGGAAGGGCAGUUACCUAAUACGUAUCUGUUUUGACGUUACCGACAGAAUAAGCACCGGCUAACUCUGUGCCAGCAGCCGCGGUAAUACAGAGGGUGCAAGCGUUAAUCGGAAUUACUGGGCGUAAAGCGCGCGUAGGUGGUUUGUUAAGUUGGAUGUGAAAUCCCCGGGCUCAACCUGGGAACUGCAUUCAAAACUGACUGACUAGAGUAUGGUAGAGGGUGGUGGAAUUUCCUGUGUAGCGGUGAAAUGCGUAGAUAUAGGAAGGAACACCAGUGGCGAAGGCGACCACCUGGACUAAUACUGACACUGAGGUGCGAAAGCGUGGGGAGCAAACAGGAUUAGAUACCCCGGUAGUCCCUGAGCGGGCUGGCAAGGCGCAU
rnacentral:rRNA from 1 species